ensembl:lncRNA
CUCUUCUCCUGUUGCUGCUGAAAGCACAGGGGGAUUUUUCUUUAGUUCUUAAAGUGAGAAACUGCAUGAGCUCCUGGAAGUAAAACUCACUAACCUGUGGGAGCUCCCCCACCAUGACUGAGUUCCCCUGGAGUUUUUAAAUGUCAGAAUUGUCCACAUUGAGCCUCCAGCAGUUCGUCAGUUCCAGUUUGGUGUUUCCUACUGCAGCUGGUUCCCUUGCCAGUUUCUGUGCAUGAGACAGCUCAGGAGACUGAAGCCCUGAAUUAACUUUUCCCAGAGAGUGUCAGAAGAGUGGAAAAGUACAAUACAAUAAGAGUAUAUCAUGCAAAAUGCCAGGCUGGAUAAAGCACAAGCUAGAAUCAAGAUUGCCGGGAGAAAUAAUAACCACAGAUGACACCACACCACAUUUUUUAUGGCAGAAGGCAAAGAAGAA